ACCUGGGACAUUGCCUGGAUAUAACCAGGUUAUUACCUGGUUAUAACCUGAGACAUUACCUGGUUAUAACGUGGUUAUAACCUGGUUAUAUCCUGAGACAGGAC
rnacentral:miRNA from 1 species